rnacentral:lncRNA from 1 species
GAAAACUAGCCAAACCCCUCCCUUUAUUUCGGCCCAUCCCUUUAUUUCCCAUAAGGAAUACUUUUAGUUAAUCUAUAAUCUAUGGAAACAAUGCUUAUUACUGGCUUACUGUUAAUAAAUACUUGGGUAAAUCUGUGUUUGAGGCUCUCAGCUCUGAAAGCUGUGAGAACCCUGAUUUCCCACUCCACACCUCUAUAUUUCUGUGUGUGUGUGUCUUUAAUUCCUCUAGCGCUGAUGCGUUAGGGUCUCCCUGACCGAGCUGGUCUCAGCAGGCUACCAUGAAGUAAGGAGAACUACAAGGAAUAUAAGAAUAGCAGAAAUAAGGAGCAAUACUCACCCUUAGGGCUUAAGUACAGCAUCCAAGUAAGAACUUCCCAAAGAGCUGAGAUUCAUACUUCACUGGGGAGGGCAAAACAAUGGCUCACUGGAUGUCAGAAAAGGGGCUGAGAUGCUGUGCCAUUGGAACCUGAUGGCAGUCUGCUCUCUGAAGAAAACCAUCCAGAGGGAGAGGAUGACUCUGGGCACUGUGUUAACAAGAGACUGAAGGGGACAAGAGUAGAAACGGAUAACCAGUUUGGAGUCUACUGUAGCAAUUCUGGUAACAGAUGAUGACGUCGGCCAGUAACAGCAGAAGUGAAAAUAUGUGGUAGAUUAUGGGUAUAUUGUGAGGGUAAAUCUAUUUGAACUUUUUUAUGGUGUGAGAAGGAAAGAAGAAGCAUGGACGACUCUAAGAAAACUUGAUUUGAUAUGAGCUAAAAGGGGGAAGAAAAGUAAAAAGCAGAUACAGAUAUUUUGCCCUUUUGGAAACUGAAGAUAAAACAGAAAAAGAAAAGAAUUUUAAGAUAUGUUAAUCUAGCAAAACUAACAUAAGAAUGGCCACCGUGAAUUUCAUGAAAUUUUGCCACAGAGCAAUACUAAAAACUGAAUGAUUAUGCCUUUUUCCAUAUUUUAAUUAAAACUGAAAUGAAAAUACUCACUGUUGGAAAGUAAAGAAAUUAAGCCAUA